GGUCACUCUGACCGCCGUAUUAAUAAAAGGGAGGUUAAAUCCUCCCGCAUGCCCCUACUCGUGGCAUGCCUUGAGUAGGGGCAUGUCGCCUAAACAAAUUUAAAACUACUAGUGACUCUUUGUCUCUCUUUAGAUUUGUAGCCAUCUCUGGCUCUCCUUUCCUUGUGUCACUCUCUCUGUCUCUCUAAUCUUAUAGCUGUCUCAGUCUCUCCUUUCCUUGUGUCUCUCUUUGUCUCUCGCUAGCUUUCUAGCUGUCUCUGGCUCUCCUUUCCUUGUG